UUAUUCAGUGGAAAGCGGCGGACGAGCGAGUAACACGUAAGUAGUUGCCCUUCACUCAGGGAUAACAUCGAGAAAUCGGUGCUAAUACCGGAUAGUCUGGAAACAGUAAAGCUUUUGCGGUGAAGGAGACGCUUGCGGUCUAUCAGCUAGUUGGUGAGGUAAUAGCUCACCAAGGCUAUGACGGAUAGCUGGUGUGAGAGCAUGACCAGCCGCGAUGGGACUGAGACACGGCCCAUACUCCUACGGGAGGCAGCAGUAAGGAAUCUUCCGCAAUGGGCGAAAGCCUGACGGAGCGACACCGCGUGGUGGAUGACGGUCUAUGGAUUGUAAACACCUUUUCUCUGGGAAGAAGAUCUGACGGUACCAGAGGAAUAAGCCCCGGCUAAUUACGUGCCAGCAGCCGCGGUAAUACGUAAGGGGCAAGCGUUACCCGGAAUUAUUGGGCGUAAAGCGUCCGCAGGCGGUUUAGAAAGUCAGUUAUUAAAUACCGGUGCUCAACAUCGGUGCUGUAAUUGAAACUUCUGAACUAGAGGAUGGUAGAGGCAUGUGGAAUGGUGCAAGUAGGGGUAAAAUCCGUAGAUAUGCAUCGGAACACCAAAAGCGAAGGCAGCAUGCUGGGCCACUCCUGACGCUCAGGGACGAAAGCGUGGGUAGCAAAAGGGAUUAGAUACCCCUGUAGUCCACGCCGUAAACGAUGUGAGCUCGAUGUGGGGAGACUCGACCUUCUCUCCGUGUCUAAGGUAACCCGUUAAGCUCACCGCCUGUGUAGUACGAGCGCAAGCUUAAAACACAAAGGAAUAGACGGGGACCCACACAAGCGGUGGAACAUGGGGUUUAAUUCGUCAAUAAGCGAGUAACCUUACCCAGACUUGACAUCCUAAUCGUAUCUUUGAGAGAUCAUUGAGUCAGUUCGGCUGGAUUAGUGACAGGCGCUGCAUGGUUGUCGUCAGCUCGUGCCUUGAGGUGUUCGGUUAAGUCCGUUAACGAGCGCAACCCUCGUCGUGUGUUGUAUUUUCACGCGAGACUGCCCGGUAUAACCGGGAGGAAGGUGAGGAUGACGUCAAAUCAGCAUGGCCCUUAUGUCUGGGGCUACACCCGUGUUACAAUGGGGCAUACAAACCGAAGCAAUACAGCAAUGUGGAGCCAAUCGGAAAAAAUGUCUCUCAGUUCGGAUUGAGGUCUGCAACUCGACCUCAUGAAGUUGGAAUCGCUAGUAACCGUAUAUCAGUCAUGGUACGGUGAAUA
rnacentral:rRNA from 1 species